UUCCUGCUCCGCGCUUAAACGAUGAAUAAACUGCGUUUGAUGAAGUUACUCAGCGAGUCUGAGACCAUGACGGCCCUGUAUUAUGGAUUUUGGAAUAGACAGCGUCUGAUACUGAAGGCCAGUUUGCCUUGACGGGAAUGCGUAAGUGGGAGCGGGACGAAAAUAAAAAGCCCUGCUCAGACCUCUACCAGUUAGCUCAAGUGGUCUGAAGUACCAGCCUACGUUACUCGAGUAUAAAGGCAUUCUGGUUUAACUCGGCCACUGAAAGACCCACAGCUCUUGUUCAUCAAUAAAAUGCUUUCAAAAAUACUCGUUUGUUGUUAUUUUGUCGUUUCAGCUUGUUCAAACUUCCCAAUGUAGCAUGAGUGAGAACUAGGACACCAGGAUCUCAGCCAAAGCCCUUUAUUCUGUUCCUCCAGGUGUUCAUGACGUCUAAUGGAUGCUCAAAUAUUCCUGUAUUUACUUCUGCUUGAAAGCUUCUGUGUCUCUGAAGUUAAAGUCAAAAUUCCUCUUUUCCUCUGCUUUGAACAGACACCCAGCAGAACAUGUAUGAGGCCAAAUAACAACUCCGUAUACCCCCCACCCCCCACCACCACCACCACCACCACCACCACCACAGGAACAAGCUGAACAGCUACAGGCCAAAACCCAGAAGCCAACAGAAUAAACUCUGGACUUUGCUCUCACUCCUUUACUGCAUCACGGCCUCCUGUUGUAUUAUAUUGUUCUGUUGACUGUCUGGUUGUUACUUUCAGACUUAUUGCAGAGGCUACAGAGCUGUGUAAAAUAACACACAGUACACUUAAAGGACUUCAUCAGUGGGCAAAAAACUGUUUCCUGCCACGUCUAUUAACGUUCAGAAGGUCAACUCUUUUACCUGGUUUAAUUCAUUAUUUUAAACCAGAUGUUAUUUGUCUGUAUAAGCGCCAAACCCAACUCACCUCGUCAGCCAACUAUCGGUAGAACCAGCUGGAAAAGUUAGUCAUACAAGGAACCUGUAGAAUUUCACAACUUUUUUAAGAGGGUUUGUAGAGGAUUUGGCCACCCAAAUAAAUGUACAUCUUUAAUUUAAC
ensembl:lncRNA